UGAGCCAUAAGAACAUCCUAUGUGCUCAUGCAACCCUAAUGCUUGGAUCUAGGUUUCUCUAUUGUACAUGCAAUUCAUCCAAGACUUUAAACCCUAGUUCUAGCAUACAAUUAAUCAUAUUAACAUGUGAAAGGGUUUUUAGAUCUUACCUUGAUUGUUAUGUAGCAAUAACAAUCUCAAAUCCUCCUUGUAAUGACUUUAGAAAGCUUAUAUUCACAAGUGUCACUCCUCUAAUGGCUUACAAACACCAAGAGCAAGAGGACGAAGAAUAAGCAGAGAGGAGGCUGCCCAAAACGUCCAGAAACCCUAGUGAAACUCCUAGCCACGUUUUUUGGACUUAAGGGUACUAUAUAUACAUGUAGGCUAUUAGGGUUUUCAACUAGGAAACCCUAAUCUGACUGCUUAAUCCCUAAGCAACCCAUGGACCCUUUUAGAAUAUACCUUGGACGAUUUCUAAUGAGUUUCCCCGUAGAAUUCGUCCAACCUAUUAUUCCAAGGUGAUCCAUAGCCCAAAUGCAAUUAUCUUAUAAUUACAGUUCCAGCCCCUUAAGUUUAAUUAAUCUCUUUUAGCCACAAAAUCAAUUAUCAAUUAAUUCUUGACUAAUAUUACUUAAACAAUAUGAUUUCUCCUUUAAUAUAUUAUUCUCAUAAUAUGUUAAUAAAUCAUAAUUAAUCCUUUCUCGCCAUAAUUCAUCCUAUCAAGUUGCUUUGGUGAAGGCAACCCAAAAGGACCAUGCACCAUCGGGUCAAGUACAUACCAAAAUAGUUAUGGACUUAGACACUAAUCCAAUAGUCUCCCACUUGGAUAAGUCUAAUAACUAUUAUGCAUAUGACUUCAAAUCCUGAUCUGCAAUCGUAGCUUUCCAAAGCCGCUGUCAACUCUGAUCCUAUCAGAUACGCGUGUCCUUAGAUAAGGGAUCAUAUAUUCCUCCAUUCUAGAUAUCAUAUGAGAUAUGAUUUCAAAUCAUUCUCUUUGUAUUAUUUCUCGAUUUCCGAUUUAUGACGACUGACUAAUUGAACAAAUCAAAUUAGCCCUAGCCCGGCCGAGCAUUUACGUUUGUCAUCACUAAAUCAUCGAGGGGCCCAAAGAUAUCGCUUUUAUCCUACUUUGGAUAAAAGGAACGGAUAAACUUUGAUUCAAUGCUUGCUUGCACUCACUCACCGAAUCACACACAACAAUAUGUUUUAUAACACCAAGUUACUGGUGCGUUUACAUAUUAUCAAUGUGCAACCGACUCGCAAGAUACAACUCACACAUCUCGGUUUCAAGAAUAUAAGAUGUUAUCGUCUCACCAAUCACUCGUGAUAAAAUCCAUGAAGUGAUCCAAGUGAGCGUGGGUUUAAUCCAAUGCUCAAAUCAUAUUCAUAAGCACUCAUGAACGUUGCAGCAAACAUUUGCUUAUGUCUAAUACACUUUAGACAAUCCACACACCAAUUCACGACAGUCUUCAUUCAUACCUACUUCCAACAUAUGAACGACUGUGGUCCGUUUGAAUAAUUUGAUUGUUCUGAACCAAUUUAAUUAUUCAAGAAGUCAAAACAUGCAAAGUGAAACACAAGAAUAAUACUAAUCCCAUAUGGCCCCAAACUCUAGGUAUAAAUAAAACAUUUUAUUUUAUCACCAUAUUGAUUACUCAUUAUUUGUUGUUUCGGGUAAUCAACUUCUUACUUGAAUUAUAACAACAAUUGUCCCAUGCUCUUAGUAUGCAAACAAUGUUUACCUACGGUCCUUACUUUGUGAAAUAGAUCAAAUGAACACAUUUCCAAUCAUACUCAUUUCACAACUCCUAAUCCUUAUCAUAAAUAUAAGAAUAUCAAAUUCUUGCCACUUAUAGAAUAUGCUAGAUUUUAACAUUUUAUGCAAUGAUCCUUUCGUAAAUUCAUAGCUCAAAAUCAUCAAGACUUGUCCAUUCUCUAUCAGAAGCGAUUCUAUAGAAAUGUUGUCUCUCAUUCAAAGUUCAUUCCUUUGAACAUCCUUCUUGCAUAAAAGUUUCUAAUCUAGACAUAGAUUCUCAAUAUCCAACUCCCAAUAUGGAAACAUUUCCAUAUUUUGCCAUACGACAACUUAUUCUUAAUAGAAUCUUAUCUAUUCAUAAUAAUGUCGAUAUUAUCUAUCCAAUACCAUACUUCCAACUACUCACAAGCGACAAAUCCUCAGCGAGCUUUGGAUCGUCCUUUGAUAGUUGUUUAAUUAUUUUAGUUAAAACCAAUUCUAGUCCUUUUUCCCUCUAAAUACGCUAGACAUUUGGAAAAUUUUAGAAUGGUCAAAUAUAAUAGCACUAGCAAUCAAUCCUAUACCCGAAGCGUAUGGGAUACGAUGCAUAAUGUCUUACAUAAAGAUAUGAUACUAUAUCAAUCUUCUUCCAUAAUAUUUAAUGUGCCAUGUUCUCACAAUUCGAACAAUGCCAUAACACUAUGUAUCCUUGACUAAAUUUAUUAACAUUCCACAACCUAAGUGAAGAGUUAAGAAACUCUUUGAUCAUUUAGAUCUUUUAACAGGUUAAUCACUAAAACGAAAUAGCAAUGCAAAACACAAGAAUGAAUCAAAAUAUGCCGAAUGAUUCAAUAGAUUCAAGCCUCAGCAGAGCUCGAUAAUGAACUUCCGCUGUAGAGGCUAUUAGGAUUACAAACGAUAAUGAUCAAGUCUUUUAGAAAAAUUGACUUCCAAAUCUUUUGUACUAAGAUGCAUGUAAGCAUCUAUAAAUACAAAACCCUAGAAAAUAACUCACGGAUGGACAAGCCCAAUCAGGAGACUAAAUGGACUAAUGAGCGAGCCCAAGACGCAACACCUUUCAGACCCUACAAUCUCCCCCUUCGUGUCAAUUGGAGCGAGACUAUCACUUCGGCUUGUUGGGUCCAGCUGCAGGAACUUUCUUAGUGGUUUUAAACAAACAUGGGAUGAGAGCAAGGAUGGUCUGUCUAAAGUGAAUGUACCACUGGAUCAUGUCAUCAAAAUACUUCUUGUCAUCUGCUGAAUUCUGCUUGCAUCGAUGAAUGAUUCCCAGAACAUGUUCCAAGCAUGCAGUGGUGUAAAGGUGCUUAUCUGCCAAGGCGAACAGGCAUUUUUGGCCUUCGUUCCUUGUAAACAUGACAUAAUUCUGUUUCGGGUCGAUUCUUCCCAUCUGCAUCAUGUUCAAAUCACUAGCAGAGCCCACAUGAGAGAUAGUAGGCUUUUUCUUGAAUAUGUUGGUGAUCUCCUGAUCCAUCUUGGCAACCUCCAUAAUGUAGCAUACGAGCAUCCUUUUGAAGUGAUCAAUAAUUGGACCAUACUCAGCUUCGUUGGUGAGGAGGAUGUUAUGCAAAAUAAUCCAAUCAUGUGGAUUUAGGUUGGGAAGAUCAGCAAGUGAUAUAGCGUGUUCGGUUUUAGCAGAACCCCUCAACACUUUGAACCGAACGUUCGUGAAGUUCCCCUCACGAAACGGUUUGAGGACCCGAAUGUUGACGAUCUUAUGAGCGCUCCAAGUCUGAUACUUUGGUUUAGCAGACUUCAGAUAGAACUCGACAAGUCCCCUAUCAACUUUUGGAUCAGGAUGAGGGACAUCAGCAACGUUAUCAAAAGCAUGGAAGAUGAAGGCUUUCCGGGUGAGUGGCAUAUCGAACUGAGAGUGGACAGAAUUGAUUCGAUCCAAUGAAAUCACUAGUUCGAGCCACAGAAUGUUGGGAGUUUCAAUUGCUUCUUUUAAAAGCUUCUCAAGAGUCCACGGAGGAAAAAGAGUUUUCCUACUCUCAAGAAGGUCAUGAGCCUCCUUCAUUUUUCUUUCGUUCGCUUCAAACUCUCUGGCAACGCGAGCGCUGAUGUCAGCAUCUUUAUCCCGGCCUUGUUACUUUAAGAGAUCAGCGAGGGUCUCUUUAUCAUCAUCAUCACUGUAUUCAGCAAUCUUCUUUCCUUUGUCUUUGACACCCGAACCUGAGGCUUGACCUGCUGGAAGAGGUUUGGUUGUUUUAGUUGCUGUGGAAGUGGGAGGCGGUUGAGACACAUCUUCUCCCCCUUGUUUCGGAUAGGACACGAACUCAGGGAGCCCUUCAAUUUUGCUUAGUAGAGAAAGGGAAGGAGCAAGAUUCUCUGUGAGAGUGCGCCUCACUGAGUAAUUCAGGAUCGGAUCAUGUGCUUCGAUGAUGUUGGAAAGGGCGGCGUGGACAUCCGAAACACACGAAGAAAUAACCUCACGCUCAGAUCGAAGAGAUGCGACUUCCUUUUGAGAUUGGAAAAGAUGAAGACUCUUGACCUUGAGAGCAGUGGUCUUGUGAGCCAGAGCAUCCAUCACUGAGUUCUCUGAAGCGAGGUCUUCAUGCAGCUUAGUCAGGCGCUCCUCAACAGUCGCCUAAAACAAUUUGUUGUCAUUGCUGAGAGAUUGACGAAGACUGGAAAAUGACUGCAGUUCGGAGGCAACUGAGGUGGCCAGCCUGUUGACAAGAGAGUCAAGCUUCUCUGCAUUGGAGUCAGUGGCUCACUGUAAAGACUGCAAAAGUGAACUAGCGUUAACAAAUAGUUUUUCGACUUUUCGGUCGCAGCAGCACACGCCUUGGUAGAGGCAUCGAUAGCGGCAGUGGCAGAGUUGAUAGAGGCGUCAUGAGCCUUAGUGAACGUAUCAACGAGCCCCUGAAUAGUAGUCUAUGAGAUGGUAGAUCGAGAGGAAGAAGAGGAGGAAGCAAUGAGAGUAUUGAUUUUCUCAUGAAGCUCCUUGAGAUGCUUCUUGGUGACGGGAGCAUCAUCAUCAUCAUCACUUUGCAUUUGAUACGGAAUGUAAUAGACCGAGUCAAACGUCAUGUCCUCUCCUCCAAGAAAAGGUUCAUCUUUUUCUGCUAAGUGAGCGGGAGAUGAGGGUGAGGGUGGAGGUUCGGUUGUGGAAAUAGGUUCGGGUACAGAUGUACGUUCGGUAGUGGGAGUGGUUUCGGGUGCUGUAGUAGGACCCCCCGUAUCAGAUACGUUGGUUCGAACGCCAGCAGUGGUUGUUGUGGUAGCUCUAGUGAAAAUAGGAGGUGGUACAGGGAUGAAGGUGGGUGGUAUUUGAGUAGUGGAGGUUAUGGGGGGAAUGGAAAUAGAGAUGGAGAUUGGGGGAGGAGAUACAGGUCUAGAAGAAACAGGUACCUCAGGGGUAGGCGAACGUGGAGGAGUAUUACCUCGAAGGGACUCUUCUGAGUCUGAACUCUCUUCCUCAGAUUCACUAGAGGAAGAGGCAAGAAUAAGCUUUCGCCUGGGUUGAGUCUUCCUCUUCUUUGGUGGAGGGGAUUGAGCUGCCUUGAAAGGUUUGCGUUGCUUUGGAGAAGGACCUUUCGCUCCUUUGACAACCUUCUUGUCUUUCCCCUUGUCAUGUUUCUUUCCCCUGGGAGCAGGCCUAUCAGAAUCAUGAAUUGAUUGAAUCAUUUCAGGAGUGAGCUCUCUGGGACCUGAGCGACGAAACUCCUUGUAAGUUCUGAUGAUGCGACUGUCGCUUGGAACACAUCCAUACAUUGACUCAGGGAUUAAGCCAACGAACUGAAACUUGGAGGAAUCAGAUACAAUUAUCUUCGUAGUGUGGAAAGUUCCUAUCAAGGAGAGUGGAGAAUUAACAAAAAUAAGAACGUGAUACUUGUCCAUCACCCACUUUGUGACCAGCGUCCAGAAUGUAGCAUAAGAGAUCUCUGAAUGGCGAGAAGUAGACGCUAGAAUCUGAAUCAGCUGCUGCCAUAAAACUGAUCCAUAAUCGAGAUUGAUGUCGUGGUACAACCCAUAAAGAAUCGUCAUAAACAGACGGCUUGCCCCAUCUGAACUUGCACUGCGUUCCGAUAGCCCUUUGAAUAACACGGUGAAGAAUCUGUUCCACUGAGGAGGUAAGCAGGAUUUCUUGAACUUUGUAACAGUCGUCAGAAUUUCAGUGUAACCCAUGUUAUAAAACAUGGAGAACAACUGUCCCACUGGAAUGGAUUCAGAGUUAACCCUAGACUCAUCAGGUUUAAACCCUAAAAGCGAACAUAAUCGUUGUUUGGAGAUAGAGGUAUUGUUAUCAAGAAUGUCGAAGAAGAUUCGAUCAACAGACUUGUCAUAGUGGUCUGUUGAGAAGAUUUGCGACAGACACUCAAUUGGAACAGGUUCAACUUUGGUGAGUGCUGGAACCGAUGGCGAAUGCUUGAGACAUUCCACGAUUGGAAACAUGAACGGAUCGUAAACUUGUGGAGUGAGAUCAAUGAUCAGGCUUUGUUGAGGAUGGAUUGGCAGAAUGUGAGAAGCAGCAUGAAAUGAAGAGGAGUCCGCCAUUGAAGAGAAGAUUUUGGGGAAGAUGAUGAACAGUAGGAGAAACUAAUCUUUUCUUGCGCUCUGAAUAUUUGGUGCAGUAAAGAGGUAAAUGACGGUAGAAGAUACCUUUUAUACCGUGGUGAGAAGAGAGAGAAAAACUUGUUCCCAAAUCUUCAAAGAAAAUAUGAAGCAUUUCCUUAGGUUAUUGAUGCGUGACAAUUUCGAGCCCUGAUGAUUACGCAUGAGAAAGAAAGACUGUCCCGUUUCACAUGCCUUCCCAUCAAGCGCCGUUUGAAAUGUCAAAAACGGUUCCGCUUCACACAUCUUCCCAUCAAGCGCCGUUUGAAAUAUCAAAGCGAUUAGACUUUCAGCUGAGUCAGCAACUUAUCCCUUUAGAGUGAGCUGUCGUCAUAGAGCAAAAUAACCACGUGUAACAUUGUGAGCCACAUCUCUUUUAUAACCUUAAAUCCCAUACCCAAAAAUAGCUUGUAAUUAACGAAACCAGAAUUAUGGAAAGCCAAAAAGAUUUUCGUGCAUUGAGUGUAAAAGAAAAAGAAAUAAAGCAACACAUAUGUGGGAAAUCGUGAUGUCAAUAAAGACACGAAACAAUGGAUCCCGGGCAUGAAUCUCUUCCUUCAAAGUCAAGAGAGACCUUAAAGUGUUUGUGUGGUUUCCCGUUGAAUUACGACCAGACACUUAUUAAGAAGUGUUGAAAGGCAUCUUUUAAUAAGGCUAAUUUGGGAGGCUUUCGCUUCAGUUCAGAAUUCCUGAUCUUGACAUAAGACAAAAAUCGACUGAAGUACUUGUAAGACCAAUGUGGUCUGUUGAACAAGUAAGUGUGAAGAGAAUUUAAGUGGCAUGGUGAAAAUUCUUUUAGGUGAAAUCUCAAAAAAAAAAAUUGAAACUGGAUUCUAAGGGAAGAAAUGUUAUGGGAUUUAACAAUUUCAUAAGAAUCACAAAAAAAAAAAAAUAGAGAUUUCAAGGUACAACCACAUGGGUGAAUUCGUUAAUUCAUUAGUGAAAACUAGAGCAAAUUUAAUUAUUCACCGUCAAUGCAUAGUAGGUAUUGAAUUGUGGGUUUCACUUAGCACGUAGUGGCACGAAGCUAUGAUCAUAAACACAGAAAUUGUGUAACCAUGAACCUCAGUGGUAAUUUCUGAGAGUCUCAAGGGUUACGUGUAUGAAGCGAAUAGGAUCGAGAAAAAUAUUGGAGAUGGUGUAAAGAAACCAAAGUACCUCUGCUGUUAAAAUAAGGACCAAGCAGAAAACUAUUAUCUCAUGUGAGAAGAGAGUAAGGUAGCUCAUGAUUAGAAUAAAUAUAAUAGCCUAAUUGGGAAGACAAGGUUUGUAUAUACCAAUUCAAUAAGGCUUUAUUCAGAAUCAGUUGAGGCUUUGGACGACAUAUAUCAGCAUGUUUCUAGGGACACUUAACUAUUAAAAGAUGUGAGAACAAUACCUGCCCCAUUGAUUAUCCACAAAUGAUAAAAAAAAUUAACCAACAUAAAUUUUUUUUUUUGGAGUUUUUGAUUCAAAAAGAAAAACAAAAAUAAAAAAAACAAAAAUUUUUUGAACCGAACCCGAAAUAGACCGAACGCUCGGUUCAUUUCGGUUUCAAAAAAAAGUUUGAAAAAGAAAAAGAAUUGGAAAAUAAGUGAGAAAAAAAAUUGAAAAAUAAGGGUACAAACAAGUUUACAACCAGAGAAACUACCUUUAAGUGAUAAGUGAAGACAAGUGAAUAGGACCGAACCCAAGCGCUCGGUUCAUUUCGGUACUUACAUGAACCAAACCCGAAAUAGUCCGAACGUUCGGUUCAUUUCGCUUCCAACUUUUAGUUUUGAGAAGUAGUUUUUGAUACUGACUCCGAUUCCAUCAUACCUAGCCUUGUAGAAUUUUAUUAAAACUUGCUUCAGGAAGAGCUUUGGUGAAGAUGUCAGCCAGUUGAUCAGUAGUUCAAACAAAAUGAAUCUCUACGUUUCCGUCUUCUACGUGAUCUUUAAUGAAGUGAUACCUCCAUGCAAUGUGUUUGGUUUUGGAAUGUUGCACUGGGUUAUGACAGAUCCUAAUUGAACUUUUUGAGUCACAAUAUAGUGGGAUCCUUUUCAUAUUGAGUCCAUAAUCCCAGAGUUGGCUUUGGAUCCAAAUCACUUGAGAUGUGCAAGAAGCGGCUGCAAUAUAUUUUGCUUCAGCUGUAGACAGGGAAACACAUGUUUGUUUCUUAGAUUGCCAACUUACCAACUUCCUGUCGAGGAAUUAACAGCCUCCUGUAGUGCUUUUCCUGUCUAAACCACAUCCUCCAAGGUCUACAUCUGAGUAGGCUUGAAAAAAGAAACUUGAGUUUGAGGGAUACCAGAGACCGAGAGAGGUAGUUCGCUUCAGAUACCGGAGUAUGUUUUUCACUGCUAGCAUGUGUGGUUCACGAGGAUUUGCUUGAAACCUAGCACAAUAACACUCAGAAAACAUUAUAUCAGGCCUGCUAGCUGUGAGGUACAUCAGGGAACCAAUCAUUUGGCGGUAUAGCGUUAUAUCGAUUGCCGGUUUUUCCAAGGAUGGUGUGAGUUUGGUGCCGAACGCCAUUGGAACUUUGACCUUUGAAUCUCCCAUCAUGCGGAAUUUAGCAAGAAGAAUCUUGGUAUAUGCUUCCUAGUUGAUAAAGAUGCCUUCGGGUCCCUGUCUAAUGUUUAAACCAAGGAAAAAGUUAAUUGGACCCAUUGAGCUCAUUUCAAAUUUAGUCUCCAUCAGCUUUCUGAAUUGAACCGUUAAGCUAGGAUUCGUUGAGCCAAAGAUGAUAUCAUCGACAUAGAUUUGAACUAUCAUAAGGUGGUUACCUUCCUUUUUACGAAAGAAGGUUGGGUCAACCAAACCUUUUUUGAAUUUAGACAUCUUAAGAACUUAGUUAGUGUUUCAUACCAUGCCCUAGGCGCUUGUUUCAGACCAUAAAUUGCCUUGUCAAGAAUGUAUCAGUGAUUUGGAUGAUUUUCAUUCACAAAACCAGGAGGUUGCUCCACAUAAACCGUUUCUUCAAGUUCCCUAUUUAGAAAAGCACACUUCACAUACAUUUGGUAGACCUCGAAGUUUUUAUGUGGGGCAUAGGCGAGAAAUAUUAGAACAGAUUCCAGCCUUGCUACCGGAGCAAAUGUUUCUUCAUAAUCAAUUCCUUCUUCCUGGCAGUAUCCUUUCACCACAAGACAAGCUUUAUUUCGAAUCACAUUACCCUCCUUAUCCAUUUUGUUUCUGAAUACCCAUUUGAGACCAACGACUGAGGAAUCUUUUGGUGUUGGAAUGAGAUGCCAGACUUUAUUUCUUUCAAACUCAUUGAGUUCAUCUUGCAUUGCUUGGACCCAAUCAGAAUGAUCAAGAGCAAUAUUGACAGUCUUUGGCUCAACUUUGGAUACGAAGGAAUUAUACAUGCAGAACUCUACUUUGGAAAAUAGGGAAGUUUGCUUUCCCUUCACUUGAGAUUAGGUUAGGACCUUUUCAGAUACAUUACCCACUAUCUGAGAUACAGGAUGAUCUCUAUUCCAUUUGGUGAGCGGAGGAAAGUUUGGAUCAUAGGAUGGAUCCAAUUCGGCAUUGACCAUAUCUUCCAACUCAGAUUGAAUAUCAUCAUCAUAGAACAUAUCAGAAUUCUCCCCCUCGACAGAUGAUGAAUCAUUUGGAUCUUCAGGUUGAUUUGGACCUUCGGGUGCUACUGAACUUUCAGGUGUAGCCGGGCUUUCUGGUGCUACAGGACUUUCGGCUGUAGCCGGGCUUUUGGGUGCUACAGGACUUUCGGGUGCUAUAGGGAUUGAAUUCUCCCUCUGAAAAUGUGAGUCCGGUUGAUUUGAAGAGAAUUGAUUCUUCCCCUCAACUGAAGUGCCGUGCUGAUGAGGUUCGUUUCGAAUUGGUUCUCCUUCUUCCAUUUGUUUGGCUGCAUCUUCGACAAUCUGCUUCAGACGAUCGAUUUUAUUGUCUGCCGCAUUGGCUUCCGAGAGAGUGGUUUUCUCAGGUUCAUCGAAUAAGUCUACGAACUUAUCAAAUAAAUUAGCAAUCGUAGCUGUGACUUGACUUGUUUGAGAGAAAAUCUCUCCAAUUGCUUCUUUAGUAGUCUUUAGUUUCUUGACGAAAUUAUCAUCAAACGUCACAUAAUAGGUUUCAUCAAUCUUUCUAGAACGUUUAUUUAAAACCCACUAUGCCUUUGAAGAAAGAGAAUAUCCCAUAAAAAUUCCUUCGUCAGCUUUAACAUCAAACUUGUUGCGAUGUUCUUUGGAGUUGAAGAUGAAGCACCUUGAACCGAACACAUGGAAGAAUUUUACAUUCGGCUUCCUGUUAUUGAUGAUCUCAUAAGGAGUGAGAGAGAAACGCUUGUUGAGAUAAGACCUAUUCUGCGUAAAACAUGUUGCAGCAAUAGCAUCAGCUCAGAAAUAUAAAAGGAAGAGAAGCAAAACUGAGCAUAGUUCGGGCCGCCUCACACAAGGAUCGGUUUCGCCUUUCGACAAUACCAUUCUGUUGAGGCUUAUAAUGGGCUGAAAAGUUAUGACUGGCUCCUUUUUCUACCAAGAAGUCUUCGAAUUCUUUGUGUUCUUGAAUUCCAGUCCAUUGUCGUUCCUAAUGUUUCGAACGACUUUUCUCAGUUGCACUUCGACCUGUUUGAUGAACAUCUUCAGCUUAGGAGUGGCCUCAAAUUUGUGCUUCAGAAAAAAUACCCAUGUAAAACGUGAGUAAUCAUCAACAAUAACAAGAAUAUACUUGCUACCGCCAAUGCUCUCGAUUGAUGAUGGAACACAUAAGUCGAUGUGAAGCAACUCAAGUGGUUCAACAACUUUUGUUUUUAUAAUCGAUGGGUGACUUUGACGACUUUGUUUCCCCAUUUCGCGUGCAGCGCACAAGUGUUCACGAUCAAACUUGAGCAAUGGAAGACCUCGAACAUGACCUCCGGUGACAAGCUUGUUGAUGUCUUUGAAGUUGAGAUGUGAGAGCCUUCGGUGCCACAACCAACUUUCUUCUGAAUGAGCUUUAGACAAAAGACAUAUGGCUGGAUUCCCUUUGAUUGGUCUGAGAUUCAGAGGAAACAUUUCGCCUUUUCGAUCUGAUUUGAGAAUGACCUUGUUGGAUUUCUUCUCUAUAAUUUCUGAACCUUCAUCGUUGAAUGAAACUUUAAGACCAGUACCUCCCACCAAUUGAGAUACACUGAUGAGAUUAUGCUGCAACCCUUCUACGUACGCCACCUUUCUUAUUGUGAAGUCUCCAUUGGUUAUCAUCCGAUAACCCUUUAUUGUUCCAUAGGAGUUGUUACCGAACUUGACAUUGCCACCAUUUUGAAGUGAUCGAAACUCCCUUAGCUCUUCCUUCCUUCCUGUCAUGUGACGUGAGCAGCCACUGUCAAUGUACCAUUCUUCAUCAAACUGCUCGUCACUAAUAACCUGCAAAAAUUAAGCAGAUUUAGGAACCCAAAGUUUCGUGGGUCCACGUGAGCCUUUCACAGGAACAGGAAUAGUAAGAGAAACAUCAACAAGAUAUGUUCGUUUUACUAAGGUUGUUUCAUCUUUUCUUUUAAUAGUGAACACUUUGAUUUUAUUAGAAUUAGUUGCAGGUGUUUUAGAUUCAGAUUCUCGUGUUUGGACUUUAGUCUGCUUUCGGUCUUCCUUAGCUGAGGAAAUCUUCAUUUUUCCUUUCAAAUCCCUUGAUGAUCUUGAAUUUUGUGUGGAAACUAAGUUGGGCUUAGAAGAAGAUUGAGAACGAGAAGAAUUAGAGGAAAAGAAAUUAUAAUGAGAGUUUUUCCUGACUUGAGGUUCGAAAUGACUCUUUCGUUUGUGGUCAUUAGAGGGACCGAACCUGGACCUUCGGUAGCCGCUUGAUGAUGAGCCGAAGUUGGAUUUUUGGGUGUUGUUGGUUGGUGGUCCGAAACUAGGUAUUUUAUUGUAAAAGCAUGAUGGACUGAAAUCAGGUCUUUGCCUGUUGUUAUUUGGUGGACCGAAACUAGCAUUUCGGUUGCUAUUGCUUUCGGGACCGAACCUAUCCUUUCGGUUUUGUUCUUUGUGUGGCCCGGAAGUCUUUCUCUUUGACUUAGAAUCAUUAUCAUGGUAAGAGUAGUGAGGAUUUUGAGAGCGCCAAAACUGCUUUCGCUCUGAGAGAUUUUUCUUGUAUCUCAGGUUUCUCUGCUGCUUUUGAUUUUUCACCUGUUUCGGUUGUCUGUGGAUAUUAGCUUUUUGUUUCAGCUUCUUGGCAACCGGUUCACUCUUCAUAGAUGAGGUUUCGCUUGUAGAUAACUUCUUCUACAAGAGUUUCUUUUGUGCCACUGGUACUUGGUACGUCAAAGUUGGUAGGCUUAUUCAGCGGUUCGGGCACAUAUCUACCUUUGGUCUUCCAGGAUGUUCGCUCCGACAGACCAACCGUUUCGUCUGCAUUGUCUAUAGGUGCUGACCAGAAAAACUCAUCACAACCAUCUGCAUUAUCUUCUUUCACUAUGGUAGUGAGUUCGGCUGUUUGAUGUUUGGUUACUCCUGUGACCUUAUACACUUGAUUGGGAGUAAUUCUAACCUUCUGAAACACAACGACCUUUUCUUUAAGGACAGGGGACUUAGUUUUGGACAAACGAGCGAAUUCCACAGAAUUUUCAGAAAUCAGGUUUUUGUGGUUUUCGGGUUCACUCUUGACGAAUUCAGAACAGUCAACUUCGUCCUCUACAGAAAUUUCACUCAUAUCAUCGUCCUCAUUAAGUUCAGAUGCGUUUUCAACAUCAAUUUUGUUUUCUGAACUUAAAUUGGUACUCAAUGAGUCGAAUUUUUGUAUGGUUUCGGUCCUGAGUUUCAGCUUAUCAUUUUCAUCCAAAAGAUUUUUAAGCAUGUCCUUAUGGUCUUUGGACUUUAUAAAAGAUUCUAUUUUGUCCAGACCAUACAUAUAAGUAGGAUUAACAUCAUCGGAAGAUACAACACUUUCACAGUUGUAUGCUUCGGCAUCGAUUUCAUCCUCCUUAAACUCAAGGAAGGGUAGAAUCAUGCGAUGUAUCUUCUGCCCUAUUUCACAAUUUAGAUGCAGUUGAGUAAUGUUAGCAUAAAGCCUUUUGGCAAUCAAACAAAAAACAUUCCUUUGUUUUAACAAUUUAAGAUUGUCUCUUUGCAAAUAAAUGUUUUCAUCCCUAGACUUAAUCAACUCCAACUCCUUCUGCUCUAUCCAAAUCCUUUGCUCCUCACUCUUGGAUGGUACCCUGCUUAUUUGGUCAGUCAGACUAGAAUUCGUGACCCGUGUUUGAGUUAAACAACUAUCUAGAUUUUAAAUUCUUGAAUUCAAGUUAUUUAAUUCCUUUUCAUAUGAUUUUUGUGGAAUUUUAAAUGAAACAAAAAUAGAUUGUACCUUCUUGAUCAGUUCAUCAAGUUCAUUGAUCUGCACACUAAGAGGUUUUACUGUAAAGCAUAAGUCCUCUCGCUCCUUGGCCUCUUAAUUUCCACCAUCAGUGUUGUAUCCCCUCAUGUGAGAUACAUCGGUCACCAUCAGACAUCUUCCGCCGGUUUCACCUCCUUUUGCAACAUAAGCCUUUCCAUGAGAAGGCUUUCUCACCUCAUCAUCUUCUGAGUCGGUCGACCACACCUGUACGCCACCGAACUCGUCAUCCUCUGCCGAACCCUGCACAAUAAGAGCAUUCAUAGAAGAAUUAGUAGCAGCCUUCUUCCUUUUUAUCUCUUCCAGUCUUUUCAUAAGACUUGCUUCUUCAUCUUUCUCUUCGUCUUUCUCUGCCAUCUUCUUCAGCACGCAAUCCUUUGCGUAGUGAUUCUUUCCCCCACAGUAGAAGCAACUGACACCAGAGUCAGCUUCACCCUUUGCUUCCUUUUUCGACUCCUCAACCUUCGGUUCAUCUUUCACUCUUUCGGAACUAUAGCUUCCCUGCCAAUUACGAUUUUUGUUGGAAGGAAACUUUUUCUUGAUAAACCUUCUAGGAUUUGACACCAUUAAAGCAUAGUCUUCGGCUGUCAGAUCGUGAUCUCCCAGAUUAAGAUCCUCUUCAUCUUCUUCUACACUUUUACCCUUGGACAGAAGCGCCAGAGACCCCAGACUAGAAACCACGCUUUUCUCUUGCAGCACAAUCUUUUCUUGGGAUUUCAGAAUUCCCACCAGUUUCGCCAGCGAGUACGAUUUGAACUGCUCGUGUGCUUUAACUGUUGACACAACAGCUCUCCAUUCGGAUCUUAGACCAUUCAGAAAAGUGACCUUCUGUUCAAUAAGCUUCCUUUCAAUAUCAUGUUUGAUCAUCUUGCUGAGAAGAUGAUUGAAGCGAUCAAACGUCUGUGUAACAGACUCAUCAGGAUUUUGCUUGAACUCUCCAAAUUCAGACAGAAGCAAGGUCUGAAUUGAGUGCUCCAGAUCUUCAUCUGUAGAAUACAGCUCUCGCAGCCGAUCCCAGAUUUCUUUAGCUGUACUGCAGGAACUUACCAAUCUAAACAUGUCAUAUUAAAGAGCGAAUCGAAUCAGUCUCAAUGCCUUGAUGUUUCACUGAAACUUCUCCUUUUCGUCCUGAGCAACAUCUUUCACAUCUUUUAACAAAUCAUUAUACUCCUUUUGAGUUUUAAUAAUUCUGGAAGUUCCUGAAUGAGCAAAUGGUCCAGACACAAUAGCUUCCCAUAUCAAAUACCCAUUAUCUUCAGAUCCAAUGACGUAGUCUUCAAAGUGAUGCGCCCAAACCUCGUAAUCUUGAGUGUAGAGAAUUGGAAUCCUUGUUAUAGAUCCUAUACUGUUUGCGAUGUUGAUAGGAUUGGAUUGAGAAUCUUCCAUGCUUGAUCGUUUAACCUAUUGUAAGAUCAAUAUUAGGGAAAGAUGAAUAAAUAAUGAGAUACGUCAAUUAUGGAGUGACGACUCAAUAAAUAUCAGUAAAUGCGGAGUGAACCCUAAUCACUUCUUUCACAGAAGAGAUGUGUAUGAAUUACACAGUCUCCUGCUCUGAUACCAAUUGAAGAGUUAAGAAACUCUUUGAUCGUUUAGAUCUUUUAACAGGUUAAUCACAAAAACGAAAACAGCAAUAUAAAGCACAAGAAUGAAUCAAAAUAUGUCGAAUGAUUCAAUAGAUUCAAGCCUCAGCAGAGCUCGAUAAAGAACUUCCGCUGUAGAGGCUAUUAGGGUUACAAACGAUAAAGAUCAAAUCUUUUAGAAAAAUUGACUUUCAAAUCUUUUGUACUAAGAUGCAUGCAAGCACCAAUAAAUUCAAAACCCUAGAAAAUAACUCACGGAUGGACAGGCCCAAUCUGGAGACUAAAUGGACUAAUGAACGAGCCCAAGACGCAACACCUUUCAGACCCUACACUAAGCCUUUAGAUUUGAAAUGAAGCAUAAUAUUCUCUCCCUUAAUUAUAGCAAAACAACUAUUCAAGCCUUACGAUUUUGCAAAGUAUAACUCUUGUUUUCUAUAAUUAAUAUUGCUAACUUGCAAUACUUGUUUUAAUAAUCAUACAAGCACAACAUUUAUGCUCCCACUAUCAUGAUGAUUAUUAUCAAAUAAGCAAAACACUUAUGCUCCCACUAGCUUUUACAUGAUAAUCCUUUAUCUAAGCUUCUUAAACUUAUACACCUUUGCCUUAGAUAGCUCAUAUGUGUGUCUAAAAAUUCAGACUAAUUGCCAAAUCUCACAAUUCGAAUUAUGGAAAGGGAUACCGUAACCAUAAUCGAAUUCGAGAAUACUAUUUUCAUAAUCACUAUCUUCUUAAAAUCUCUCUUAGCGAAAGAAUUUCCUCACAGUCAUUCUUAUGAAGGAGGGAAUCUUAUGACACUUAGAUUUUAGUGGUGUAUGUGUUCCUAUCCAUGCGAAUUUGCCCAUUACCAAAGUUUGCGACAAAUCCAAACUUAUAUGGACCGAACCUUCUCAUUCUUGAUCUCUUGCCUUAUAGUAACAUGGCUGCCCACCAUGUCUUCCAAGUAGUUAAGUAGCUCACCCUUUCCUAUCAAUGUACUUUUCAUUGAUCGAAGUGCUUGCGUUUUAUGCAUUCAAAUGAGAACUCAUAGAACUCACAUGCAUAAUUAACUCAAUUUGGAAAGGCACAUAAACAAGAUAGUGUCAACACGAUAGGUUGUAAACCUCAAGUCGUGUGCCGGUGAUGAUUGAUAAGGUUUAUUCUUGAUUAGUUCUUAAAACUUUUCAAGACCAUUAAGACUCCCACUGACUCCUUGACAUAUAAGAUUCUCUUGACAAUAAACAUUUCUCGACAAACAAAUAUUUAAGAGUUAGUGUAGGUUUCAUCAAGAAUAAACAUUUCACAAAAUUGGUCCUAGUUGGUCUUUGUCUUAUCCAAGACAUCACAACAUUCCAAUUUCAAAUGUGCAAGAAUAAGAAAACCUUUUCCAAAUUCCACUUUUGAUGAAUGUUAUAAACCUUCUUAAGACUUGUCACUCAAUUUACAAUCUUAACUCUAAGACUUGUUUUUGGAAUGAAGUAUGAUUGACUUCUUCAUUUAACCAUUUCUUCAAUUCUUGAUUUCUCUUUUUCAAACAUACAAUUGCACUAAAACUCACUGAGAGGACCAAUUGAGAUAUGGUUCUUAAUCAUUAAGACCUAUCAUAAAAUAUAAUAAAAGGUACUCUCCCUUCUUCUUAGAAAAGAGAAACAUUUAUCUUUCUGCCUACUUGAUUCUUCUUAUUCAUUCUUCUAUUGAUUUAAACUCUUUCAAUCAACUCGGAAUUACACUUAAUCUCAUAAGUAUAAUCAUAUUUACUAAACCUUUAGUAAAUCAUGACAAAUAUCUUUGUCACUCUUGUGGUGGACUUGAUCAACAUACAACCUUGUGUGCUUGAUCUCCUAGUCCUUUACUUGACACUUUGUCAAUGAAUUAGUCUAACUUCCAAAUAUGAAAUUUCUCAAUCAUCAUGCAACCAAGUUGUAUGAUUCCAAGUUUCUGUCCAAUUGAAAUUUGGGCGAUGAGAAACUUUCCCCAUUUGGUAAAUUCUUGACCUUUCCACAAAUAAAAUAAUUAAGAAUCAAAUCCAUUAUUGCUAAUAAUAGAAACUUACAAACUUCAAUUUUUCAUACACGCCAUUGCAAGGAUAAAUAAAUAAUAUAAAAUCAAAAUUUAUUUUCUUGCGGAAAAAAUUUGUCCAUACAAUGCAAUUGAAUUGAAAAACUACGUUAAUACAUAUUUCUUAGCAAUCUUAUUCUAACUCCAAGUAGUAGCUCAAGAUUCUAAUCUUCAAGUAAUGCGAUCGAAAUCCAUUUCUUCACGAUUAGAUUCCGCUCACUACUUCCCUUAAGUUUCCUCUCUUUUCUUCGAUCCUACAAGACAUCGAAAUGUAAUCUUAUCACAUCAUGUAUUAAGAGUUUAGAAUAGGAAUUUAAAAGAGUUAGUUAAUGGAUUUUACCUAAAGUAGAGCCAUACGUUUUGACUCUCCCAUCUCUUAGAUCUCUUAGGUAAAUAGGACAACUUCGUCUCUAAUGCCCCUUCUCUUGGAAAUAAAAGCAAAUUGACUUCUUUGGAACAGCACACGAAACUACUUUUGACUUUGCCUUUCUCUUAUGAUCAAAAUUUUCGAUCAUGGCAUGCAUUUCAUUGCCAUUGCCUAUAUCCAUAGAGGUCUGGAAGGCAGAUCCACCAAUCAACUUUGCUUUUCCAGUACGCCAAAUCAUUGCUGAUUCAGCAGUAAUAAGCAUAUAGGUGAGAUCAAUGAGGGUUACGUUGUGGUUCAUCAUAUAGUACUCUCUUACGAACUCACUAUAUGAGUUAGGAAGUGAGUAAAGAACCCAUUCAACAGCUAGCUCCUCACAGACAACAGAUCCCAACAUUCUUAACCUAUCAAUGUGUGACUUCAUCUCUAGGACGUGUGAACAUGCUGACUUUCCUUCUACAUGUUUACUUGCCAAAAGGGCUUGGGUGAGUUUGAACUUUUCAAUCUUUUGAACUUGUGGGUUAGGGAGAAUAAUAGGAGGAGGUGGAGGAAGUGAAGCAUGAUCUCGUGUUCCUCGAUCGAAUCGUGGAAUAUCAUCUUCAUGUGAAAAGCUUGUUCCACGGGAUUUGGGAAGACCAUAGUUGUCAUACUUUGACAUCUACAAAACGGGAGAAAAAUUAAAUUCAAGUUAGUUGAUUGAUUGAGUCCUUAAUAAAUCACCCAAAUGAGAUAUUAAGGCUAGGACCCAACACUAUACUCUACAACCUAGAAAAGGGAUGUCGUAAUCUAGUUGUAGAAUAUUUGAAGGUAAGUGAAUGACGAUUCACUAAUUUCCACCAUGAAAAACGAAAAAGAAAUUUAAGUUUUAAAUCUAUUGAAAAUUCCUAAAUCUUUUGAGAUUCAUUGAACUUUUCAAUGGCAUGUUUAAAUCUCGAUAUGCCCCUUUACUUUGUGACUGGGAUACCAAGGAUCACAAAGCGGGUGUGAAUAACCAUGCAAACUUACAUGGUGCCCCCACAUGUUACAGUCACCUAUUCGAUGUGCCGGUUAACCACACACGCUCCACUGAACUAUGACAAACAUUGAGUCACCCUUUGCUACCUUUUCUUAGAACCAUUAAGUGUGUCGGUUAACCACACACGCUCCACUAACGUCUUCGCAAGGGCACAAAGUGUAAUUUCAUGGAAUUGCAUCAAUUCACUUUUGCCUAAAAUAACUAAGAUUGUGAAUUUGUAAAAGCAUUUAGUUACUUUUAUACUUCAUUAUACUUAUAAUGUAAGGUUUCUGUCCCAUCCUACCCGUUCGGCUAACGACCCUCCACUAGUCAAGAGUGUGGUGGGUAAGAGUGGGUACCCAUUCAAUCGUCAUUUUAUAGGCAAUUUCCUUUAACACCCCUUAUAGACCAGCUUCGUGAAUGAGGCCUACUAAUGGUAAGACUGACUUUUAACUCAUACAUAUAUAAUAUUGGACUUCUAAUGAUAUAUAUAGUAUAGGGUGUAUUUUACAAUUUUAAAAUAUUAGGCGGUCUAAUUUAAUAAAUUAUACUUUUAAUUUAACUAAACGUGAGCCAAAACUUUAUGGAUUUAUUAAAUCUCUUUUAAUUGUACACCUUAAUUAAUUAAUAAAACCAUACAGGUGCGAUUUGAACUUUUCAAAACAAUACUAGGGCUUUAGAAUUUAACAUUUCUAAAUUAAACUUUUAAUCAACUUUUAAAUUCCAAAACUUGAGGGAAAGUUUUGAAACAUUUCAAAGCAUCAAGGAUCAAAUAGAAAAUAAUUUAAAUUAAACAACUAAUUUAAUGAUUAUCUAAAUUUGACCUAAUUUCAAUUUCUUUCAAGAUAAGUUACCCAAUUAAUACAAAUAAUCAAUCUUUAAUCAUAUAAGGAAGUUAUUAUCUAAUCAAUUGGUAAUUAUCUUUUAUUUAAUCAAGGAUAUACUCAAAUAUAAGAUAAAAUUCGAAUAUUAAAGACCCAAAACAACUAAGGCAAGUAUCUUCAAGCAAAACAGCAAGAAAUCCCGAAAUCUGCUCUUACUAACGCUCGAACUCACCGAGUUCCUCUAUGGACUCGCCGAGUUGGAGCAACUUGCCAAGUCCACAUUGGAACUCGCCGAGUUCAUCUGUCAGAGAGCCAAAAAAUUGAUUUUUCAAGCGUGAACAAAUAACCAAGGCAUCUAUACAAUAGAAACCAAUCAAGGCUCUGAUACCACUAAUGGGUUUUAGCCAUAAGAACAUCCUAUGUGCUCAUGCAACCCUAAUGCUUGGAUCUAGGUUUCUCUAUUGUACAUGCAAUUCAUCCAACACUUUAAAACCUAGUUCUAGCAUACAAUUAAUCAUAUUAACAUGUGAAAGGGUUUUUACAUCUUACCAUGAUUGUUUUGUAGCAAUAACAAUCUCAAAUCCUCCUUGUAAUGACUUUAGAAAGCUUAUAUUCACAAGUCUCACUCCUAUAAUGGCUUACAAACACCAAG
rnacentral:lncRNA from 1 species